AGGAGCUCAUACCAGAGAAUCACAAGAGAAUCACAGCAAUGCUUUGUAUGUAUUUUCCAAACUGAUUUAUAAUGCAUUAGUUUGAAAAAUACUUUUCUAAAUUGAAAUAUAUAUGAAUCAAAUAUAAUAGCUACAUGUCCAACAUAAAAUACUCAUUUAUUGUAAAGCGCUACGGAAUUUGCUGGCGCUGUAUAAAUGCCAGUAAUAAUAAUAAUAAUUUAAAUUAAGAAAAUAUUAUUGUAAUUCAAAGAAGGAAUUUCUGUAAAUUAAAUGUUACCAUUCCGUCAGUCCAGUACUGUAAAUGUUGUAGAAUUUUAAAACAUCACUGGACCAAGGUCAGCUAUCCUCACCUAUAAAUAAUGCUUUUGACAGACACAGGACUUGGAAAAAGAAUUGCAUGUGACAACACAGAGCAGCCUAAAGCAGAAACAAAUAUAGCUAGCUCCACAAUGUUUUCUUAAAAACUGUAAAUGUUUUAUUGUGUUUAUCACAGACUCUGCAUUAAUAUUUAUUUUUUGGGUCAAUUGAUCAAAUAUAAACUUUUAGUUUUAUUGAUUAAUAGAGUAUUUGCCUGCAGCUUGUUCUGUCCAAGGAAUCAUGCACAGUGUUUCCAUCUAAGUGAUGUAUUUUGAUUUUUGGGUGCCCUGAGUCUGGUCAAGAGUAUGCUCCUCUAGAUUUGCCUUUUACCUUUGCACAUUAGACAUACAUAGAAACAUGGUCCCAUGCAAGAGACAUACCAGCACACGCAGCAUCAUACAUGGAAGCACACAAUCACACACGUGCACAUACGUGGAAGCAUGCAAUCACAAGUGGUCAUAUACAUAGAAACACAGUCAAACGCAUGCCAAGACACACACCAGUACACAGAGAGUGUCAUACAUAGAGACACACAAUCACACACACACAGGCAUAUACAUAGUGACACACAAUCGCACACAGUCACAUACAUAGAACCAUGGUCAAAUGCAUAAAAAGACACACAGUCACAUACAUACAAACACACAAUCAUAGCAUGUGCACAUACAUAGAGGCAAACAAUCCCUCACAGGCACUUACACAAACACACAAAAAACAGUCAGUCACAUGAAUAGACAAUCACACACGCGCAGCCACAUAUUCACACACAUAGAACAGAUUAAACCCCCCUCCUCCCAUGCAGCUUAUCUCUAUCAGCAAUGGGGGAGGGGUGGAUGCAAAAACUGGAGUCAGUGCCUAAUGUCUAAUGAUAGGGAAGCAGUGUAGAUGUUCAUCAGCAAGCACAGACUCUUUUCUCUUCCACCUGCACUGCAACUGGAAACAGAUGACAAGAUAUCACUCCAAAUCCAGGUGGCCACACUGUAUUGAAUCUGGUCCUGGGUGUUAUUACAAGUAGCAGGCAGGGCUACAUUUUAACAGGCAGUGGGAAGAGACUACUCUGAUAAUACUAUAUAGUAAAGGCUCUGAGCACACUACAGACAUUCUUUGUAGGUUGCAAUCACCUAGCAUCUACAGAUUUCUGGUGUUAGCCAAAUAACCGUGGUUCUAAUAUUUGGGGAAACAUUUUUAGAAAGUUAUAUACCCCAAAAAAGACCAUCAGAUUAUUUAGAAAUAUCUACGUGAAGGAUGUACCAAUAUUUAUCAGGGUUUGGUCACACCUCCCUUCAGUGACAAUAAUUAUAUUUCUGGUUCUAUGCUAAUAUGUCAAACUCUGUCUGAAAUAUUCUGAGAUAAAAUGUACUACAUAAUCCAAAACAUUUCUGUAACAGAUGAACAAGUAAGCAAAAAUGUCAAAAUACGUAAACAGAAUUUUUAAUAUCUCGUUAGAGCAAUCUACACACUACAGUGGUGUUUUGUCUUUCUAUGCUAUCUAUACUUUGCAUGUUUCCUGCACGUGUUUAUAAUCCUUUAUUUUAAAGACCUAGGGGUUAAUGUGAUGGUUGUCUCAUAUGUUUGCAUAUUGUAUGUGUGUCAGACGGUUGUAUCAUAGAAAAUGAUACUUGUUAUUUUAAUAGAAUGGCAUGUCAGCCUUAGUUGUAAAUGUAGCAAGCUGCCAACAGACUAUAAUUGAUUGAGCUAGAUAAUUAUUUCCAAUAUGCUGUCAUUAAAAGACCGACGCGUUUUAAAAUGAUCUAUCUAACCUAGCAUACAUUAUUUUAUUUAAAUGAUACCAGUGCAGGAGGUCAAAGUGAUACAAUUUCUUAAAGAAUCUUAGAAAAAUUAUUUGGAUCUGUUACAUUUUAAAUAAGGCAUUAUAAAUUCACACUUCUUUUUAACGAACGCAUGCCUUUUAAGCAAGGAGUGCUAAAAUAGAUUGACAUUCAAAUACUGAUAACACAUUGGCAAAACCCCAAUCAAAUUUACAAACGACCUUAUUACAGACUGAAAAAAAUACAAAACUAAAUCUAAACAGCAAAAACGCCCUUUAUAUGUUUUCUUAUAUUAUUAAAUAUGACUAUUCGUGUAUACUUCAAUGUCUUUGUUUUAUUCUCAUUUUUGUAGUUUGGGAACUUCACUGAGAUACCAGCUAAAUGUCAGAAAACCUGCGGCAGUGAUACAGUCUGGCUUAAUGCCAUCGUAACAGACUUAAUUUACAGCAAUGAAAGGUUUCGAGUCCUCUGGCUUUGUGGCAGAUGCCUUUUCGGCUUGGCAAGAACAAAAUAAACAGUAAUAUCACAUGAACUGAACGAGGACUAAAAGUGCCACAUGGAUCUGUAAACAACCUGACUUGGAGUCCCAGAUGGAUAGCAAAUCUUGUUUUGGUUCUAUCACAGAGAGUAGUAUUUAAUGUAUCUCCCUCGAAUGACUGUUAUAAACCGACAAAGUACACGGGAUUCUUUUUAUAGAACGAAGAGAGCAACAGACCAUUUGCAAAAGGAAUCCGGAGUCAGUUU